rnacentral:rRNA from 4 species
ACGACGGCCAGUCCAGACUCCUACGGGAGGCAGCAGUGGGGAAUUUUCCGCAAUGGGCGAAAGCCUGACGGAGCAACGCCGCGUGAGGGAGGAAGGUCUUUGGAUUGUAAACCUCUUUUCUCAAGGAAGAAGUUCUGACGGUACUUGAGGAAUCAGCCUCGGCUAACUCCGUGCCAGCAGCCGCGGUAAUACGGGGGAGGCAAGCGUUAUCCGGAAUUAUUGGGCGUAAAGCGUCCGCAGGUGGUCAGCCAAGUCUGCCGUCAAAUCAGGUUGCUUAACGACCUAAAGGCGGUGGAAACUGGCAGACUAGAGAGCAGUAGGGGUAGCAGGAAUUCCCAGUGUAGCGGUGAAAUGCGUAGAGAUUGGGAAGAACAUCGGUGGCGAAAGCGUGCUACUGGGCUGUAUCUGACACUCAGGGACGAAAGCUAGGGGAGCGAAAGGGAUUAGAUACCCCUGUAGUCCUAGCCGUAAACGAUGGAUACUAGGCGUGGCUUGUAUCGACCCGAGCCGUGCCGUAGCUAACGCG